GGUUGUAUCUGCUGCUUUAAUGUCUUUAAUGUCCUCUGUGGUCUUUGAUUUUUGAUGUUUCCCGCUUACACACAUGGAAGAGGGAUGUGUACUAUGGCUAUGAGUUGUUUUUUUUUCCCUUGGCCUCAGUCUGCACCCCCACUACAGGGCCGAGGCUAAAACCGAUUUUUUUUUAAUUUUAUUUUAAUCUUCUAUUCUUUUCUCCCCACCCCCAUGUUUACCUGUAUGUCAUCUUUUUUGUAAGGGGCGCUGGAAGCCGGUGUUGUGCCGAAUUAUGCACCCCCGCCGUAAAAUGCACCCUCUGGCGGGAGCGCGCUUACGUCACUCGGUUGCGUCACCCGUCUCGAAAAGUUGCUAAACUCGGCUAAAAUCGCCUCUUUCGGCAUAAAAAUGUACAUAACAAGGUGAAUAAUCCAAAUUGUCUUUACUUUGGAUAUAUUAAUGGAUGGAUUAAUUGUGAUUCUUCAAUGAUUUCGCCGUCAUUGCCUUUAAUGAUUUCGUCGUCAUUCAGAGACAUCAAGGAGAACGAAUGUUUGCUGCUUCACUCGACGGGAUCCAAUACAUGUAUUUUAAAAAUAUGACAUUUUCUUUAACUGUAAGAAGCUCAUGGGUGGAUGGAUGAAUACAUUAAUAAAUGAAUGCAUCUGA